UACGAAGGGGGCUAGCGUUGCUCGGAAUCACUGGGCGUAAAGCGCACGUAGGCGGAUCGUUAAGUCGGGGGUGAAAUCCUGGAGCUCAACUCCAGAACUGCCUCCGAUACUGGCGAUCUUGGAGUCCGGGAGAGGUGAGUGGAACUCCGAGUGUAGAGGUGAAAUUCGUAGAUAUUGGAAGAACACCAGUGGCGAAGGCGGCUCACUGGCCCGGUACUGACGC
rnacentral:rRNA from 1 species